UACGUAGGGGGCAAGCGUUGUCCGGAAUCAUUGGGCGUAAAGAGCGCGUAGGCGGCCCAGUAAGUCCGCUCUGAAAGUCAGAGGCUCAACCUCUGGAUGCGGGUGGAUACUGCUGGGCUAGAGUCCGGAAGAGGCGAGUGGAAUUCCUGGUGUAGCGGUGAAAUGCGCAGAUAUCAGGAGGAACACCGAUGGCGAAGGCAGCUCGCUGGGACGGUACUGACGCUGAGGCGCGAAAGCGUGGGGAGCAAACAGG
rnacentral:ncRNA from 2 species